rnacentral:tRNA from 2 species
GCCGUCGUAGCUCAGCCUGGGAGAGCACUCGACCUGAAACCGAGCUGUCGUGAGCUCAAAUCUCACCGGCGGCA